rnacentral:rRNA from 1 species
UACGUAGGGGGCGAGCGUUGUCCGGAUUUAUUGGGCGUAAAGAGCUCGUAGGCGGCUCGGUAAGUCGGAUGUGAAACCUCCAGGCUCAACCUGGAGACGCCAUCUGAUACUGCCGUGGCUUGAGUCCGGUAGAGGAGCAGGGAAUUCCUGGUGUAGCGGUGAAAUGCGCAGAUAUCAGGAAGAACACCCGUGGCGAAAGCGGCUCUCUGGAACGGUACUGACGCUGAGACGCGAAAGCGUGGGGAGCGAACAGG